GACGAACGCUGGCGGCGUGCUUAACACAUGCAAGUCGAACGAGAAGGCGUAGCAAUACGCUUGUAGAGCGGCGAACGGGUGAGUAACACGUGGGUGACCUGCCCUCAGCUCUGGGAUAAGCCUGGGAAACCGGGUCUAAUACUGGAUAUGACUCCAUGACGCAUGUUGUGGGGUGGAAAGCCUUGUGCGGCUGAGGAUGGGCCCGCGGCCUAUCAGCNGUUGGUGGGGUGAUGGCCUACCAAGGCGACGACGGGUAGCCGGCCUGAGAGGGCGACCGGCCACACUGGGACUGAGACACGGCCCAGACUCCUACGGGAGGCAGCAGUGGGGAAUCUUGCGCAAUGGGCGAAAGCCUGACGCAGCGACGCCGCGUGAGGGAUGACGGCCUCGGUUGUAACG
rnacentral:rRNA from 1 species